rnacentral:rRNA from 1 species
GAAACACGGACCAAGGAGUUUAUCGUGUGCGCAAGUCAUUGGGUGUUGAAAACUCAAAGGCGCAAUGAAAGUAAAGAAUCCGCAAGGAUACGACGUGUGAUCUGAGCAAUCACGAUUGCCUGGAGCAACAUGGCCCCAUUCUGGUCGCUUGCGACGGGGUGGAGGAAGAGCGUACGCGGUGAGACCCGAAAGAUGGUGAACUAUUCCUGAGCAGGAUGAAGCCAGAGGAAACUCUGGUGGAAGUCCGAAGCGAUUCUGACGUGCAAAUCGAUCGUCUGACUUGGGUAUAGGGGCGAAAGACUAAUCGAACCAUCUAGUAGCUGGUUCCUUCCGAA